rnacentral:ncRNA from 2 species
GACGGUGGCCAUGGAAGUCGG